rnacentral:tRNA from 1 species
GGGUCGUUAGCUCAGUUGGUAGAGCAGUGGGCUUUUAACCCAUCGGUCCCCGGUUCGAACCCGGGACGACUCACUA